CACGCAUGCGCAAAACAAAGGUUUUACAAUGCAUCACAAAUCGUAUUUUGGCGCAAAAAGGAUUUUCAGUACGGAGUUUGCAGCUUAGCUCUUGAUCUGGGACUUGGGUUCCAAACACAGCUACAUAGUCCACCAUUUCACUGCAAUCCUUGGCUAGAGUGAAUCAAGUUCAUGUGUAAAACAAAAACCACAGCUCUUCUGUUUGGCUGCCACUGUUUGGCUGCCACUAAGAAGGCGGAUGCAUUGACGUACUGCAGCGAUGGACCAAAGUGGCCAAUGAGGCGUCUACGCCAUAUACAGUGUGUCUCUAACCACUCAAUCAAACAGUGAAAUCUACUUAUGUUGCUCUUCCAGGGCAAGAUUUUACCUUGCAUUUUUAUAGACAUUUAUCAAUUUUUUUUUUUUUUCAAUUUCAUUUAUUUGAUCAGUACCUAUUGAAAUGAAGUAAAAUCACAGAUCUUAAAAACUACUUGAAACACAAAACUACUGUUAUAGAAGGCGAGUAUCUCUGAGAGCCACUAUCACAGCAGUAAACACAUUACUGAUCCUUUCUUAAACUAACUCUGACAUAAUGUAUGAUUGGUUAACAGUUGGGCUGCAAAUAACGAUUAUUUUGAUAAUCUGCUUAUUUUUUCUUCAAUCAAUCCAUUGAUCAGAUAAACAAAAAUAAAUAAGCUUGUUUUGUUUAUUAUAACUAUAUAGAACAAUAAUUGAGGGUAUUUAUGUAUUAAAGAGUACUUUAGAAAAUGCAAAAUCCAGAUAUUGAGUUUAACUAUCUUAAAUUGUGACAAUUUUAAAGCUUAAAGCUUGUUGAGGAGCGCAUUUCUCCUUCAAACAAAUUCACUCAUGCUGGGUUGUUUCUUUCUGUAAAAAAGGCAUUUGAGUAUGCAAAGUGUAAAUUGUGUAAAUAAACAUUUGUAUUGCAGAUGGCAAGUUGAGAACCAUGCUUUAAAUAAUACACAGACAUUUUGUAUAAAUCAUGUUUGAAAACAGAGAAGUUACUGUUGUAAACAAAUGCUAUAAAAAAGAGAAUGGAACGGAGAAACACAGCGAGCUAACGGGCUUAAAAAGAAAGGAAAAUAUAUGCAUUGGUGUACAAAUGCAUAAGCAUUCACUGAAAACCACAACAGUGACUAAAAAUGUAAUUGUUUACUGCUGCUGUUAUUUGCUGCUAUUAGAUUUAGUGUUAGUUUGCACCGUUUUAAUUGAAUUCAUCACUAUGUCACGAGCGAGUUGAUUGCGCAACCUGAUGCUCCCGAGUCACGACAGAACAGAUACAGUGACUGUCCCGAAGUUACAAUUCACACAAUAGCACUUCAUUAAACUGUGGAUUUUUUGUUUACAGUGCUGAUGUUUCGCCUUCAUUCAAAAUGCCAUCACAUUAACCUGUAACUUAAGCAGCCCAACUAAUGGAUAACGAAAUUCGUUGACAACGAUUUUCAUUAUCGAUUAUUAUCAAUUUUAGCGAUUAGUUUUUGCAGCCCUGGUUAACAGAGAGUUCUGGGAAUCUUGUUAUGUAACUUAACUGCUAUUAAAGAGAAGCAUGAAAACAGAACCAAAUUCAGAAGAAUUAAUUAAUUAUUUAUAAACAUUUCAUGUUUGAUGACAAAUAAAAUAACACUGUACAGAUGGCUUUUUAUUACAACAAAUACAAAUGUUUCAUGUUAUUUCAAAAUACUUCCCAUUUCUCAAUAAAAAAUAAUCUCAUAAACUUUAAUCUACUUUCUCUUCUGUUAUAUAACAUGUUUGUAUGUUUGCUGUUGUAGGCCUGUUGUACAGCAACUUUCAGUUUUAGAAUAUAAAAAAACUUUGUAAUAAAAAUCUUUUGGCUUGUUUGCUAAUUUGUUUGUGUGAUGACAUACAGGACUAGUCAAAACUUUGGAAACACCUUCUCCAUCAGCGUUUUUUUUUUUUUUUUUUAUUGUAUAGUAAACAAAACAUUGUUAAACCCAAAAUAUGUUUUGUAUUUUUGAGUCUUCAAAGUAGUGACCUUUUUAAUUUUAUGACCGUUUGCACACUCUUGGCAUUCUCUCAGUCAA